AGCAGGGGGGAAUAUUUGAAAAUUGGGGGGAAGCCUGUCCGUACUAGGGGGGAGGGUGGGAAAGGUUUUUGGAUUGUAAGACACUUUAAGUUGGGGGGAAAGCGCAUUAACUNAUUGGUUUAGUGCUUUCCCGUUCCCCACAAGAAUAAGUACCGGUUAACUCUCUGUCAUCACCCGCGAUAAUACGGAGGGAGCAAGCGUUAAUCGGAAUUACUAGAUUUAAACCGCGCGUAGUUCCUUAGGUAUGUGGGAUGGGAAAUCCCCGGGCUCAACCUGGAAAAUACAUUCAAAACUGACUGAGGAGAGUAUUGUAGGGGGUGCUGGAAUUUCCUGUGUAGCGGUGAAAUGCGUAGAUAUAUGAAGGAACACCAGUGGCGAAGGUGCCCACCUGUAUUAAUAAGGACGUGAGGUGUAAAAGCUGGGGAGCAAACAGGAUUAGAUCCCC
rnacentral:rRNA from 1 species